ensembl:lncRNA
CCAUGAAGAAAUUAGUAUAUUCGUGGUGAAAAAAAAACCCUCAUAGACUUAAUAUUUGCUUUUCACAAUUUUCCAUGAGAAGUUUAAUACAGGAGGCAAAAUUUGAUUGCUUUUGGUGGAUUUGUACAGUGUAGCAAUUCAGUUUCCUCAAAUAUCAUUUGGAAGCAAGAUCACAGAAAAAAAGCACUAAUCAGAGGCCAUACUUUCUUUUUAAAUUUUUAAUAAGGAUGGCUCUAGAAAUCCCUGGUAGCUGAAUUCCACUGGUAUGGAGGAAGAAACCACCUUUCUUCUCCCUGUCUUCCUCACAUUUGUCUAAAUGAUUUUUUUCCUGUCUUUUUGCUUAAAUUUUCUUUUUGACUUGGUCAUUUCUAACAAGGCAAAGAUCUUUAGUGAAGGGUGCAGAAGUGUGUCCAAUUUAACCUUAUUCCUGAAAACUCAGUAAAAGGUUACAGUAUCCCUGCAUAGUAAUAAAAAUGCAUGGGAGACCUAAACUCCAAGCCACGGCUGAGUUUCAAGCCCCCUUCCUCCAUCUUAGCAGCUUUCUGAUUUAGCUGAUGAGUGACAACGCUCUAGAUCCUGGUCAUCUUCCUUCCAAGAGAUGUCAGUUUACAUGUAAUGGGAUUGAUUGUCACUUGGAACUUGCUUUCUAAUUUGGCAAAACUUACAGUCUAGCACAAAAGCAAGGGAAUGCUCACGACAUGGAAGCUCUCUGAAUUAUGGCUCAAGGCCAACUACCACCCACUAAAAGGGUGAUAAAAAUUAAAAAAUGAAAGGAGCCAGCAGUUGUGGCACCUCCAAGAGUGCAGUGCUAAUUAUUGACCAACCAUCAAGCUCAGGAGUGGGAGCUGCAGCCCAGGGGGCUGGCACACCAUGCUGCCCAGUCAGGCCAGGGGUGACAGGAUGUUGAGGACCAGAAAGCAGCCAGGGUGACAUGAGGAGGCCGAAGGAUUGGCUCGGAGCAUGAACUGGAGGAGGAAUCCACGCCAGUGUGGCUUCAGACUCGGAAAAGAAAAAUGCCUGGCUGCUAAGGGGGACGCUGAGUGGCACUCAGCUUGGUGGGAAAUGCCCUCAUUUCAUAACUGAGUAGGUUAACAUUUUCUGUACUGCAAGGCAGAACCUAAGGCCCAAGGUAUCAAGGCUACCUAGAGCUUAGGAGAGCCAGCGAUGUGCAUUUGCAUCUGGGAGUUACUGUCAUACUACUGAACACCAUGUGUGAAAUAAAAGAAAGGGUACUUUUAUUUCAUUAUGCUCAGUUUGUUCUGCAGCAGACAGCCCUUGCCAUUGGCAUAGGUGUUGAGGCAUUUUCGUGCUGUAAUGGCAAUUUCAAUGUUCCUUGUUCAUCUAGAAAGCAGAAUCCUAAGGUUGAGGCUACUGAGUUGUAAACGGAGACCUGGUCAUUGUUUCCACCCAAGAAGUGAAUUAAGGCAGGAAAUAAACAGGUGUUUAUCUGCAAGGUACUUUACUUGGUGCUCAUGAUUGAACAGCUCAGCGGAUGAGGAUGGCUCUAAUUGUGUGGCUUCUGGGGAAUGUGGGAGAAUCCAAUUUAUAGACACAAUUUCUAUGCCCAGUGGCCUUGGCCUAGUGAUAACUUUCUGUCCAACUUUCUCUGGAGCUAUUACAACCCUGAGGAGUGUUGAUAGGUGGGUCGCAUGACUCAAACUGAAUCAAUCAGCAGUUACUGCUUACUGUCACCUUCUGUAAAAAGCCAUGGAUAAUGCUCAAGAUAUACCUUGGAUUAACGAGGAAACACACAGAACUGAACAUUCUUUCAAGACCCUAAUGCUCUAAAAGAUGUAAUUACCUAUUUUUCUUUACAUGAUAUCAUAAGUCAAAUUUAGGCUUGUUAAUAUGUUGGAAAGUGCAUAAGAUUACAUGUUUUUAUAAUAGGGAUGCAGGCAUUCCAAAAUAAAUGAAGGAAAACACACACAUCUCGCCUCUUACUGAAAGUAUUGAUCUAAUUUUAUAAUAAUACUUUUUAAUAUUAAGGCUCUGUAAAAACAUUUCUUUCUAAGAUUUCAGUAAAGCAAGGGUGGUUUAUUUUUUUAAGCCGAAAGGAAACAUGUCUCUUUGCCAAUCCCGCUCAUGACCACCAUACCAUGAGUCACAGUUCGUAGCGGUGGCUUUAUUUUUGUUGAGCUGAUUUAAGCUUCAUAUUUAUUCAAUGUGACUUUUAAUAGAGAAUAAAAAUGGGCGAUAUUUGAUAUUAGGAUUAAGAGAACACAACUCUCAUUUCACCUAACAUUUAAAUUUCUUUCUUUCUUUUUAAAGCAAAUAAUGCAGAUUGUUGACAUCCUAGGACUGGUUCAUGGGUGGCAUUGUGCGGAGCCUAGGACUGAAUUGUGGGCUAGUUCUUCAUUUUCUGGGAAGUCUGUAUUCUUAUCCUCACCUGAACCCCGGACUCUUGUGUUGUAUUUUUUUAUGAUUAUGAAAUGCUUUGAGGGAAAGAUAUUUUAAUGUGUACAAUUCGUUUUAUUUUCAUACUGAUCUCUAUUUUUGUUUAAAACCAUGUUACAUCAUGAAAU